UUUUUCCAUAUUCAAAUAGCGGAGGAAAAGAAACCAACAGGGAUUGCCCUAGUAACGGCGAGUGAAGCGGCAACAGCUCAAAUUUGAAAGCUGGCCUUCGGGUCCGCAUUGUAAUUUGUAGAGGAUGCUUUGGGUGAAACGCCAGUCUAAGUUCCUUGGAACAGGACGUCAUAGAGGGUGAGAAUCCCGUAUGUGACUGGAAAUGUUAACCUAUGUAAAGCUCCUUCGACGAGUCGAGUUGUUUGGGAAUGCAGCUCUAAAUGGGAGGUAAAUUUCUUCUAAAGCUAAAUAUUGGCGAGAGACCGAUAGCGCACAAGUAGAGUGAUCGAAAGAUGAAAAGCACUUUGGAAAGAGAGUUAAAAAGCACGUGAAAUUGUUGAAAGGGAAGCGCUUGCAAUCAGACUUGUUUAAACUGUUCGGCCGGUCUUCUGACCGGUUUACUCAGUUUGGACAGGCCAGCAUCAGUUUCGGCGGCCGGAUAAAGGCUCUGGGAAUGUGGCCUUCACUUCGGUGAAGGUGUUAUAGCCCAGGGUGUAAUACGGCCAGCCGGGACUGAGGUCCGCGCUCGGCUAGGAUGCUGCGUA
rnacentral:rRNA from 1 species